GUUCGGGACUCGUUGCACCCUAUUUGGGAGACAUACUUCUUUAUAUGUCCAUAUGGAAGUGCCAAUGCUAUGGAAUGUAAAGAAGUAUGUAUCUCCGAUAGGGGUCCGCCACAAAGACACAG
rnacentral:precursor_RNA from 14 species